CCUCAGCUCCACGGGGAGCUCUUGGACGCUCCGCAGCGCUUUCGCAGAGUCCCCAGUUCUCCCGUCCCGCCGGGACUCCAGGAAGGGAAAGAGAGGCGUGGAAUUGGCAGAGCCCUGGCAGCGUGAUGAGGAAACAGACCCCAUUCUGCAGUAAUUAGAAAACGUCAUGAUACAAUGCCACGUGAAGCACACACCAGCACCUGGCAAAACGCUCAACCUGGAUCAAAUUACUGGGAAACAUCAGAUGGGUCCAGAUUACGCAGGACACUCUCCAUGACGACUGGCCUGGAAUCCUCAAAAACAGCAAUGCUGUGAAAGACAUAAAUAAAACAGAAAAAAA
rnacentral:lncRNA from 10 species